AUUGAACGCUGGCGGCAGGCCUAACACAUGCAAGUCGAACGAGUGGCGGACGGGUGAGUAAUGUAUGGGGAACUGCCCGAUAGAGGGGGAUAACUACUGGAAACGGUAGCUAAUACCGCAUACCAUCGGAUGUGCCCAUAUGGGAUUAGCUAGUAGGUGGGGUAAAGGCUCACCUAGGCGACGAUCCCUAGCUGGUCUGAGAGGAUGACCAGCCACACUGGAACGGAGACACGGUCCAGACUCCUACGGGAGGCAGCAGUGGGGAAUAUUGCACAAUGGGCGCAAGCCUGAUGCAGCCAUGCCGCGUGUAGGAAGAAGGCCUUAGGGUUGUAAAGUACUUUCAGCGAGGAGGCGUUACUCGCAGAAGAAGCACCGGCUAACUCCGUGCCAGCAGCCGCGGUAAUAC
rnacentral:rRNA from 1 species